GUAUUGAAGGUGACGCCUGCCCAGUGACUAACACGUUAAACGGCCGCGGUAUCCUAACCGUGCAAAGGUAGCGCAAUCAAUUGUCUCAUAAAUCGGGACUUGUAUGAAUGGCUUAACGAGGUCUUAACUGUCUCCUGUAGAUAAUCAGUGAAAUUGAUCUCCCUGUGCAAAAGCAGGAAUAUACCCAUAAGACGAGAAGACCCUGUGGAACUUAAAAAUCAGCAGUCACUCCCAUACAAUAAUCCUCUCCUACUGGACACCUCUACACCCGGGACAAUACUUGACACGCAUUUUUCGGUUGGGGCGACCUUGGAGCACAACAAACCCUCCAAAAAUAAGACCAUCCCUCUUAACCAAGAACAACCAAUCAACGUACUAACAGUGACCAGACCCAAUAUAAUUGAUUAACGGACCAAGCUACCCCAGGGAUAACAGCGCAAUCUCCUCCAAGAGCCCUCAUCGACGGGGAGGUUUACGACCUCGAUGUUGGAUCAGGACAUCCUAGUGGUGUAGCCGCUACUAAGGGUUCGUUUGUUCAACGAUUAAUAGUCCUACGUGAUCUGAGUUCAGACCGGCCUGUGUGA
rnacentral:rRNA from 1 species